UCCCUGAGCCUGGUUCUGCUGGAGGUUUCUUCCUCAGUGGGAGCUUUUCCCCUUACCACUGUCGACUGUGUGCUUGAUCUGGGAGUGAAUAAGGUUAGACCUUACUUGUGUGAACCGCCUUCAGGCAACUUUGUUGUGAUUUGGCACUAUAUAAAUGAAAAUAAAUUGAAAUUGAAAUU